rnacentral:rRNA from 1 species
UACAGAGGUCUCAAGCGUUGUUCGGAUUCAUUGGGCGUAAAGGGUGCGUAGGCGGCGCGGUAAGUCGGGUGUGAAAUCUCGGAGCUUAACUCCGAAACUGCAUUCGAUACUGCCGUGCUUGAGGACUGGAGAGGAGACUGGAAUUUACGGUGUAGCGGUGAAAUGCGUAGAUAUCGUAAGGAAGACCAGUGGCGAAGGCGGGUCUCUGGGACA